UACGUAGGGGGCAAGCGUUGUCCGGAUUUAUUGGGCGUAAAGCGCGUGUAGGCGGCCAGAAAAGUCCGCUGUGAAAACUCGAGGCUCAACUUCGAGCUGUCGGUGGAAACUUUCUGGCUAGAGUCCGGAAGAGGAGAAUGGAAUUCCUGGUGUAGCGGUGAAAUGCGCAGAUAUCGUCAAGAACACCGAUAGCGAAGGCAGCUUACCAAGCUCUAACUGACACUGAUGCACGAAAGUGUGGGGAUCAAACAGG
rnacentral:rRNA from 1 species